rnacentral:lncRNA from 1 species
GCUAGUAUUUGGUAUACUAACAAUAUACUUUUUUUAUUCCACAAGUAAUCUUAAAAAUUGACACUUGUCUUUUAAAAAAAUAUAUUUUACUAUACUCCUAUAGGAUACUUACUUGUCAAUCUUCUGAUUUUACUUGUGGAAUUUAAAAACUCUCCACUGAUAGUAUAUCAAAUAUUAUUCCUAUCUUUAUAUUUAAUCUAUCUUUCGUAAAAAUAUCUUUUGUUUAAAAACGAGAAGAUAGGAAGGAGAUUGUGGUGGACUGAAUGAGGCCAAUUCACCUAAACAGGUGGAGAGUCGAAGAAAAAUAAGGGGACAAGGAAAAGGUUGUGAGAGCUAAAGAAAUUAGGUUGUAGAGUAAGUGCUUAAAGAUUGCUUAAUUGGAAAAUGAUAUUUUCUUCUUUGCUUAAGAGGGUAUUUAUAAGAGAGGUCCAUUUGUCUGCUAGUGUGAUGUAACAAGUUGUUACAGAGGAGGUUGCCAUUAUAGAGUACAUGAGGGAUGUGCACGGUGAGGCCCAUUAUAUUAUUCCUUUAGGUAGUAAGAGGCUAUUACACUUAGAUUGGUCCCAAUAGUUCCUAAAAGGAGUGUUCACACUAAAAAGUGGGUGGCUAAAUGAAGGGAGGACACCUCAUCCAUCAACAGGUGGCUUACAAGGGUAAGUCGAUCCAAGUGGUUGGUCAGCUGAGGACGACACGGCGGAUGGAGGGCAAAAGGUUUGCUCUCAGGUUUCCAACUGACACUUUCUAAAUGUGCCACAGGUCUAGCUCGAGUGGUGGAAUAAUAUAGUUAUUAUUCAAAAUCACUGUAUUUGAAAAUAGUUAUAUUCAGAACAAUUUUCAUUCAAGAACGUUUAUAUUCAG